rnacentral:rRNA from 1 species
AACGAACGCUGGCGGCAGGCCUAACACAUGCAAGUCGAGCGAACCCUUCGGGGUUAGCGGCGGACGGGUGAGUAACGCGUGGGAACGUGCCCUUUGCUACGGAAUAGCCCCGGGAAACUGGGAGUAAUACCGUAUGUGCCCUUCGGGGGAAAGAUUUAUCGGCAAAGGAUCGGCCCGCGUUGGAUUAGGUAGUUGGUGGGGUAAUGGCCUACCAAGCCGACGAUCCAUAGCUGGUUUGAGAGGAUGAUCAGCCACACUGGGACUGAGACACGGCCCAGACUCCUACGGGAGGCAGCAGUGGGGAAUCUUAGACAAUGGGCGCAAGCCUGAUCUAGCCAUGCCGCGUGAUCGAUGAAGGCCUUAGGGUUGUAAAGAUCUUUCAGUGGGGAAGAUAAUGACUGUACCCACAGAAGAAGCCCCGGCUAACUCCGUGCCAGCAGCCGCGGUAAUG